rnacentral:rRNA from 1 species
AUUGAACGCUGGCGGCAUGCCUUACACAUGCAAGUCGAACGGUAACGCGGGGCAACCUGGCGACGAGUGGCGAACGGGUGAGUAAUGCAUCGGAACGUGCCCAGUAGUGGGGGAUAGCCCGGCGAAAGCCGGAUUAAUACCGCAUACGACCUACGGGUGAAAGGGGGGGAUCGCAAGACCUCUCGCUAUUGGAGCGGCCGAUGUCAGAUUAGGUAGUUGGUGGGGUAAAGGCCUACCAAGCCUACGAUCUGUAGCUGGUCUGAGAGGACGACCAGCCAGACUGGGACUGAGGCACGGCCAAGACUCCUACGGGAGGCAGCAGUGGGGAAUUUUGGACAAUGGGCGCAAGCCUGAUCCAGCCAGGCCGCGUGCGGGAAGAAGGCCUUCGGGUUGUAAACCGCUUUUGUCAGGGAAGAAAUCUCCUGGGUUAAUACCUCGGGGGGAUGACGGUACCUGAAGAAUAAGCACCGGCUAACUACGUGCCAGCCGCCGCCGUAACAC